rnacentral:rRNA from 1 species
UACGAAAGGGGCAAGCGUUGUUCGGAUUUACUGGGCGUAAAGGGCACGCAGGCGGUCUUGCCAGUCAGGGGUGAAAGCCCGGGGCUCAACCCCGGAACUGCCUCUGAUACUGCAGGACUAGAGACUAGGAGAGGGUGGUGGAAUUCCCAGUGUAGAGGUGAAAUUCGUAGAUAUUGGGAGGAACACCAGAGGCGAAGGCGGCCACCUGGACUAGAUCUGACGCUCAUGCACGAAAGCGUGGGGAGCAAACAGG